GGAAGCGACCAUCUGCGACCGCUUCCGACAGUCGAAGCCAGGCCGUACAGCCGUACACACCAUGAGGGCACACGCGCUUUUGUUGCUGCUGCUUCUUCUGGCAAUUGCUACAUCAUCUCCUGGCGUUCCCGUGGCGGCAGCAAGUUUGCAACCGCUAGAACAAGAACCACCACAGGAACAUGAGAAUGUGGUUAUACUUAGGCCGAGGUGCAGGGAUGGCCAAGUUCUCGUCGGGAAUAAGUGUCGUAAUACGAUGACUUUAAAAUUAGAACGGCGAUCGACCAAGGAGCUAGAAGAACCAGGCGAUGACAAAUGGUCUCUUAAUCAAAAAUUUUCUGAAGACCGUGUACAGUAACUACCUUGGAGUUUCCCGGCAUGUGCGAGAAUCUCCUGCAUCUCCAUCAACAAUCUGCCCAGUUCCUGUUAUGUGCUGGAAUGUAUCUGAAAGUAUUUACGCUCUGAAACGCCUGGGAUUAGAUAUGACGUUUUAUUACUCUUUCUAUGUAUGUCCAUAAAAAUGUCUAUUAUGUAUGCCUGUAAUUAGAUAAAUAUACUAGAACACACACUAAA